rnacentral:rRNA from 1 species
UACGGAGGAUGCGAGCGUUAUCCGGAUUUAUUGGGUUUAAAGGGUGCGUAGGCGGGCUGUUAAGUCAGCGGUAAAAGCCCGGGGCUCAACCCCGGCGAGCCGUUGAAACUGGCUGUCUUGAGAUGUCGAGAGGUAUGCGGAAUGCGCAGUGUAGCGGUGAAAUGCUUAGAUAUUGCGCAGAACUCCGAUUGCGAAGGCAGCAUACCGGCGGCGAUCUGACGCUGAGGCUCGAAAGCGUGGGGAGCAAACAGG